rnacentral:rRNA from 1 species
CGUAGGUGGCAAGCGUUGUCCGGAUUUAUGGGUUUAAAGGGUGCGUAGGUGGCCCUGUAAGUCAGUGGUGAAAUAUCUCAGCUUAACUGAGAGGGUGCCAUUGAUACUGCAGGGCUUGAGUACAGAUGAGGUAGGCGGAAUUGACGGUGUAGCGGUGAAAUGCAUAGAUAUCGUCAAGAACACCGAUAGCGAAGGCAGCUUACCAAGCUGUAACUGACACUGAGGCACGAAAGUGUGGGGAUCAAACAGGAUUAGAUACCCUGGUAGUCCACACUGUAAACGUUGAUGACUCGAUGUUGGCGAUACACAGCCAGCGUCCAAGAGCAAUCGUUAAGUCAUCCACCUGGGGAGUACGCCGGCAACGGUG